rnacentral:rRNA from 1 species
CUGGCGGCGUGCCUAACACAUGCAAGUCGAACGAAGCACUUGGCUGAUCCUCGGUGAUGCCUUGUGACUGAGUGGCGGACGGGUGAGUAACGCGUGGGUAACCUGCCCUGUACAGGGGGAUAACAGCCAGAAAUGGCUGCUAAUACCGCAUAAGCGCACGGAAGGACAUCCUUCAGUGUGAAAAAACUCCGGUGGUACAGGAUGGGCCCGCGUCUGAUUAGCUUGUUGGCGGGUAAAGGCCCACCAAGGCGACGAUCAGUAGCCGGUCUGAGAGGAUGAACGGCCACAUUGGAACUGAGACACGGUCCAAACUCCUACGGGAGGCAGCAGUGGGGAAUAUUGGCACAAUGGGGAAACCCUGAUGCAGCCAACGCCGCGUGAGUGAAGAAGUAUUUCGGUAUGUAAAGCUCUAUCAGCAGGGAAGAUAAUGACGGUACCUGACUAAGAAGCUCCGGCUAAAUACGUGCCAGCCGCCGC